UACAGAGGAGCCAAGCGUUGUCCGGAUUGACUGGGCGUAAAGCGCACGCAGGCGGAUGCGCGCGUGGGGUGUGAAAUCUGGCCGCUUAACGGCCAGGCGCCAUCCCAUACGGCGCGUCUGGAGUGAUGCAGAGGUUGGUGGAAUUGCCGGUGUAGUGGUGAAAUGCGUAGAGAUCGGCAGGAACACCCAGGGGGAAACCAGCCGACUGGGCAUCUACUGACGCUGAGGUGCGAGAGCGUGGGGAGCGAACCGG
rnacentral:rRNA from 1 species